rnacentral:rRNA from 1 species
UACGUAGGGCGCAAGCGUUAUCCGGAAUUAUUGGGCGUAAAGAGCUCGUAGGCGGUUUGUCACGUCUGCUGUGAAAUCCCGAGGCUCAACCUCGGGCCUGCAGUGGGUACGGGCAGACUGGAGUGCGGUAGGGGAGAAUGGAAUUCCUGGUGUAGCGGUGGAAUGCGCAGAUAUCAGGAGGAACACCGAUGGCGAAGGCAGUUCUCUGGGCCGUAACUGACGCUGGAGGAGCGAAAGCGUGGGGAGCGAACAGG